GAACUCUUAGCUUAGGGGUAGAGCAGUCGGCUCAUAACCGACAGGUCGUUGGUUCAAUCCCAACAGGGUUCA
rnacentral:tRNA from 2 species